rnacentral:lncRNA from 1 species
GCCCGGUGCGGCGGGCUCCUGGCCGCGGCGCAGCUCGCGUUCGCCAUCCCGUUCCUCCGGGCCCGGAUCCCACGCUCCGGGCUUUAGCUGCGACCGAGUAGGCAGUCGGGGCGAAGGAAACGGGAACUGAAAGCGAUGAAAAGCGUUCCACACGCCACGAGCCCGCGGGAUCCUCGGAGAGUAUGGAACCCUUCCCCUCCGCUCUCAGCCGGAGGCCAGCUGCGUCCAGCCGGGCUCGGUCUUCUGAACACCGAUUUCAAAUCAGGUCCUCGGGGCCCAGCGUCACUUAGGGAAGUGGUGGCAUUUUGUGGUUGCUGCUAAAUCACGGAGAGCAGCCUUGGCGCUGCCGGUCCCAACUUGAUCCAAGGAGCCUUGAGAAGGAGAUGAGAUUCAGUACCAGGGGCCGGCCGUGGCUCCCAUCCUCCGGAAUCUGCAAAAUGGCUACUUCUUCAGAAAUAAUGGGGAGAGGGAUGGCAAGAGGCCAGAGAUCAAGGCCCUCGAGUAUUAACUUGAGCAUUUGGGCACAAAAUAGACACUUUUGGAUUUUCCCGUCUUUUCCAACACCAAGGAUGAGAUUAUCAAAAGAUGUGUUAAAUUAAUUUGUACCGGCCGGGCGCGGUGGCUUACGCCUGUAAUCCCAACACUUUGGGAGGCCGAGGCGGGCGAAUCACAAGGUCAUGAGUUCGAAACCAGCCUGGCCAAUAUGGUGAAACCCCCGUCUCUACUAAAAAUACAGAAAUUAGCCGGGAGUGGUGGCGUACGCCUGUAGUCCCAGCUACUCUGGAGGCUAAGGCAGGAGAAUCGCUUGAAUCCGGGAGGUGGAGGUCGCAGUGAGCCGAGACCGGGCCACUGCACUCCAGCCUGGGAGACAGAGCGAGACUCUGUCUCAAGAAAAAAAAAAAAUCAAUUUGUACCAUUCCUUGCCCCACCCUGCCGAACUUAUUGAAAGAGCAUCGCUUUCCUCACUUUUCUCCUCUAACAGAAAAGCACUUAGAUGAAGCUACAGGGAGCCAGAAUUCUUUUGACUUGGUGGGUACCGGAGGAUUGGAAGAAUCUAGAUUGAGUAUUCCUUGGCCUUUGGGGAGCUUGCUCUAUGCAAAGUCACCCAGGAAAUGAUACUCCCCCCACUGUGAAACACUAGCUAGAGAUGAUAGACAAAAAGCACAUUUGUUGUAAUCUCCCUUUGACGGGAUUCAGGUUGGGAUAGAUGUCGAAGCAGCUGCUUCUAGGUAGUCAACGAAGAUGUCAACUAGUAAAUGACAACAGACAAGGAUGAGCACAGCAGAGCUGUACGAUUCUAGAUAUCAAAAAGAGCAAGCAGUCUGUUGUACUCACCAUCGCAUCCUCAGCAGCUGCCCAGUGCCCGGUUUUAACUUAGUGCUCAGUGUAUGUGUCAGGUUUGAAUCCCAAUUCUGAUACUACCUGUGCUACUCUCUUCACCUCUCUGAGUCUGUAAAGGAUUAUUUAAGAAUUAAAUGAAACAACAUACAGAAAAGUGUCCUGCAUGUAUAUUUAGUGCCUAACAAAUAUUGGUUGAACGUCGAAAGUGGCAAGGAGGCUCAGUAUGUUCUUAUACGCUUUGCCUCCCUUCUCCUGAGCAAGCAUGUCCUUGCCCAGCUCAUCUGCUUCUCUCACCACUUUUGCCCUCACUCCCUCCACCUGUCCUCCAAAUGACUCAAAAUAAUCUGCACUAUUUAUUAUGCAUCUACUAUGUUCCAAGACAAUGAGGGUCAGCUGAGCCCGCAUUGCAGGAUGGAAAUUUCCAACUAUGUUCUGUUUACAGCUAAUGAUAUUUGCACCUAAUGCAAAGGUUUACAGACUUUACUGUUAUAGAAUCAUUUGGAAUACCUGUUGAAGAUGCAGACACCCACCUUACCAUACCUCCUAUUGCUAAGAUUACGCUUGAAAGGAUCUGAGAUAUAAGAAAGAUUGGAGAACUGUGUGCCUGGCAAUUGCCUUGCUGAAAGGAAGCCCUCAGAAAAAGUUGUUUGAUGGUGAGAGCUGGCCAAGCCAGAAAGACAAACCAAGCGACUUUGAGUGGGGGCUUUGUGUCACAAGGCAUCAGUAGACCUGGAGACUGAGUUCAGGCAAUCAAUCAAUCAAUCAAUCAAUCAGGCCUACAGAAUGAAACUCCAACUAAAAACUGUGGACACCAAAGCUCAGCUGAUUUCCUGGUUGGCAAUACUCCAUGCAUAUUGUCACACAUCAAUGCCAGCUGGUCAGUGGUAGAGGACAAUAAAAGUUUUCACACUUGGAA